CCGCCCGCACGGCCCCGGGCGCGGAGGCACCGCGGCGCUGGCCGGCACCCGCAGGUACCGCACACGUGCCCCCGGAGGAUGCCCGCGCCGGCGCGCCUCUGUUUACUACACGUAUUGGAAAAGGACGCCACAGGAGAAGCCUGAUGGAGAGGGGCUUGCGGACGAGAGCGAGAGAAAACUACAUUCACAGUAAAUAAAAGCAUCACCCACAGAGGAUCUCUCAACUCAGUGACCUUUGAAGUUGCAAGAACACAUGGCCUAGACAGGAAUAAUUGACCAUAAUGACCAGGGUUUUUUUGGCAUCUUCCAUCUCAUUUACACCUGCUCUGAACUCCAGUGGAUUGUUGGCCAUUCACUGAAAUGUUGGAAAAAGUGGCAGAACAAAACAGGAACAUCAUCCAAAAGCUGCAGUAAAGCCAGAGUUAUGUAACCAAAGGUAGCAGUAAUCCUGUUGCCUUUGUGCCUUCCACCCAAAGCCUUCCAAGCUGUUGGAAGUGUUAGUGACAAAGUGACACAACAGCCCCUUGAAGCUGCAGCAGAACUCAGGGAAGUGAAGCUCUGAAAGGGACUCCAAGUAGGAGAAAGCCCCAGGUGAUGAGAAUUUGUCCUGGUGCCAUCAGUGCUCACCCCGACCCUGACACCACAAACCUACCAGCUUGAUGUGCUCCCGUUUCUGGUACUUCUCACUGUAAUACUGCUCCUGCCUGAGGUUCAGCAGCUGCUGCUGCUGCUUCUCCUUCAGCUCCACGAGCUUCUGGGUCAUCUCGGAGUCGAGUGCAGCCAAUUCCUGCUCAAUGGUGGAAGAACUGUGAUCGGGGCUGCUCGUCUCAGACCUGCAAGGACACAGCACACCCCGAGGGGUCUCAGUCACCCGGCACCUGCACCCUGCCUUUAUUUAUUUCAAUUUGCCUUUUUAAGUCAGAUAUUUAUAACUAGUCCAUUAAUAAAUUCCUCAGCACCACACACAGAGCAAGAAGACAGGUGAUUUUAGCCCUAGUUCAAGUGUGCAGCUGCUGUCACUUAGAGUUACUUCACCCGAAAUAAUGUGAUCCUGCUUUCAUCCAUCAGAGGACACGAAUCCCAAGGUAGCCUUGUUUUAUUUCUUGUAUUUUUAUUGUAUUUGAAUAUUCUGCUAAGAGGUUAAGUGGUGUCAGUGUGAUGGGUGAAGGUAAUUUAAAUAUUACAGAGCCAGAAGACAGUAUUAAUGAAUAUUACAGUCAGCAUAUGAUGCCAUUACACAAUACAUAUUUUAAAGCUGACAUUUCUCUUGUAUUUCUGGAAAAAAGAAAUCAGGCCUAUUUCUAAGCACUGGCUAAAAUACUGACUGCUUUUUAUGGAACAUGAUCAUUAAAGAAACUUCAGAGCAACACCAACAAAACACUUGUGCAUGUGUAUAAAUAAAUAUUUCAACCUUCCUGUAGACAAUGGCUUUACUGAAUCUUGGCUCAAUUUUAGACAAGGGCAUAAAGCAGAGAUUGCUCCUGACCAGAGACAACACAUUUUUAUGGCCAUCUGAUACAGGGACUCCGGUGAAGUAGUGAUUUGUACUUGGCAGUUACAAGCAAAGAGUGUCAGCAAUAAUUUAAAAUGAUAAAAAUCCCCUUUUUCCUUGGGAUGUAGUGUUCUAUUAGAAGUCUGCUGCUUGAGAUAAUAUGUACUUGCAAGUUUGAAAAUCCUUGAAAAUAUAUUCCUGCGUUUUUUAAAAUUCAACCUCCAGACUUGUCUGUAUGUGCACAUAAAACUUCACAUCUCCGACACCACUGUGGCAGCUCCACGUAGGAGACUGCAGGGUUUUACUGCCUGACAUCAUGAAUAGUUUGCAGUCAGAUCACAACACAGUAAAAAACCCAAAUCCUUUUUUGCUCAAAAACAAGUGAGUCAUUUUAUUUAUUCAGCUUGAUUUUCUGCUUAAAUGUGAAUAGGAGAAAAGACAGAAAUGUGCUGUUGUUUUGCCUGCCACUGUCUGUCACACGCUUUGGUGAUGGAAAACACUGCAGAUAAAAUAUCCUUGUGCUUGCAGAUGACAGCCAGUCAUUAAGGGAGUUUGUUAAACUCAAGUACAGAACCUGGAAGCCUGAAAACUGGCAACAGUUUAAGCCAGCUGAACACAGAUAUACUGGGAGUGUCAAGCUCUUAUUAAGCCAAAUGACAUUCUGUCAUCAGGAAAGCAUAAAUGAGUAAGCUCCUGCCCAGGGACAAGUUAUGGCCUGAGUCCCAGUCAUUUACAUUUAGAGGUACUAUCAACAAGGGUGGCAGCCAGAGCAGGCUUGCAGCUUUUUUCUCUGAUCAUCUCCUACCAAAAAGUAAUUUUUUUUAAAGUUCAUUCAAUAUCAUCGUAUUUAAGAACUGCAGCUGCAUCAAUUUCACAUAAAAAUUAAGAGGAUUUUUGUGCUUAUCUAGUUACUUUAAAAAAUAAAUGAUGCUAAGACAAACAGGAUGCACCAAUGGGAGAAAUAAAAGUUCAAUUGCAAGAGUAUCUGACCCUGAUUGGCU